UUGGCGGGGCUUCCCGGCGCGCGGGCCCACGUGGGCCGGCUGGUCGCGCGCUGAUCCCCGGUUUUUCCCUCGGCGCCUGGGGGGUUCGGGGCCAGCCGUGAUUCUGGUGUCCGCAGGCCCGGAGCUGGCGACGGCUGUUCUUUUCUUUCGGCCGCUGGCCCGAUGGAAGAGCCUCUCGGGAAGCCCCUCAGCUGUGAGGAGAAGGAAAAGUUGAAGGAAAAAUUAGCUUUCUUGAAAAGGGAAUACAGCAAGACCUUGGCCCGCCUUCAGCGUGCCCAAAGAGCUGAGAAGGUUAAGAAUUCUCUUAAGAAAACAGUGGAAGGACAAGAUGACUUGCUCCAGGAAGAAGUUUCACCACAGCUAAACCGCCCAGAACCUAAAAAUAAAGCAUCUCCUUGUGACACGUUACAAAUCAACUCCCAUCUCAAUGAAGACACUGGAGGAAAGACAUCUGUCACGCUUGAUGCGGAGCCAGGACAUGGCCCAGUGGAAGGAUUAUGCAUACAAAGAACAGGUGAUAUCCAAGAACGUUUUCCCUACAGGGUCCCUGGCCCUGAUGGUGAGAAAAGGCAGAGUAAGCUGCCAGGGAGAAGAACUAAGCAGCAGAAGAGAACAUUUAUUUCACAGGAAAGAGAGUCUUUCUUUGACACUGAUUCCCUUCUACUCUCUGGCAAAAGACUAAAGGAACAGGAAGGAAUCAAUAGAGAAAAUCCUAGGACACUUGUAACUGAAAAAAGAAUUUACCUUCCAAGUCCUAAGUCUGACGGUUCAGAUCUUCCAGCAGCAGUUAUAGAAACUAAUGUAGGGAGUGUAUUAAUUCCAAAUGCCAAACCACAAAGAGGUGUCGAUGAGCUCUUCAGAGGAAAUGACUUCCCCAGAGCGACUACACUGCCUGUGCAUACUCUGCUAGAUAGCAGUAGUGGUCAGCAUCUCGAGCAUAAGCCUUCUGAAGAUAACGGUGAACUUAUUGCUCACAGUUUAGAAAACAUUAGCCCUGUUUCACCUGUAAACUUAGAAGCACAAGACAAAAAAAUGACUGUCCUUACAGAUAACCCAGAGGUAAAUAAAGCUGUAAGUGCAAGCGGCCAGCUGCCUAGAAGUCCUAACUUAGAGGCAGAUAAUUCAUGUUCUCUAAAUGAACUCACUUCUGAUAGCUUAUCAGCAGAUGAAAACCAAAACUUCAAAGAACAAAAUCACGCAGAGAGGUCUUUAAAAUCUCCCAAUAACACUCUUGAUGGUAGAAAUGAAAGUAUUCAGGAAAAUGAGGUUCUAAGUCAACCUAACAGUCUCAGCCUAGAAGUAAUCUCCCCUGAUUCUGCAGAAGAUCAAACAGAUUCUUGCACAGUGCUUGAAGGCCUCCUAUUUCCUGCAGAAUAUUAUGUUAGAACCACGCGACGCAUGUCCAGCUGCCAGAGGAAAGUAGCCCUGGAGGCUGUAAUUCAGAGUCAUUUGGGUGUCAGAAAGAAGGGGUUUAAAAAUAAAAAGGAAGCUACUAAAAAUUUAAACUCCUCCAGUGAAGAGACUAAGCAAAGUGAAAUUAGGAUGUCUGACACAUGCACAGGACGACCCAACUCGAGAAGUCCUGCUCAGAAACUUCUCUCAUUAACCGAAGUCAGCUCCCCCACUGGGCCCACUCCAGAUGACUUUUCUAGGAAGGCGGUUACCCAGACAUCUGGCAGAAGACCCGGAGGAAAAAGAAAGUCAACCUGCACCCCUGAAUUAGAUCGUUGUGAACUACUUUUGCCAACUUCUGGCACGUGUGGUGUCAAUAGGUCCAAGGAAGGAGUCACGUUGCGCAAAGAUGAGAAUGAAAAAGCAACUAUUCGUGGAAAAGAAAGUCAUUGUCAAAUGAAAAAAAAUGAAAAAAUGAAAAAAGAGGAGUCCCUUUCUUCCAGAAAUAGUGCUUAUUUGGCUUUGGAUGAUGAUGCUUUCCGUGCUCCAUUUCAUAAGAAUGAAAUGCUAAGUUUAAAGCAACUAUCGUCUCUUCUCGAAAUCACUGACUUUGAGUUACCUGAUAAAGACUUCGGACCUCUUAAACUUGAAAAAUUGCAGUUCUGCUCGGAAAGGGCAGUUGAGCCUUUUGAAUCAAAAAUAUAUGGGGAGAGGCCUCUUAGAGAAGGAAAUUGUAUUGUUUUGGAGGAAUUGACUCCUGAACAAAUCGAUACAGAAAUGGAGGACUUGGAAGAGGAACUGAUUAGUGUACCAGGAAAAGCAUGCCCUAAAACGCCGAGCCUAAAAAGCCAGCCUCAGGGCCUUUCUUCGUCCAUACUGCUUUUCACUCCUUUAAAUACAGUUAGACCAGACGAUAAUGACGCGCCAGCAGCAGACGCAUGUUCACCCACUUUCCCCAUCUUAGGCGUUACUCCAGCUGUUGGCUCCCGAGCACGCUGUGAAGAAGUGUGUGCAGAGUUUGUUGGACGAACUUGCUCUCCACCCCGGCUUUCUCACUCGCACACCCCAGUCAGUCUUGCCAAUGAUCAUAAGCAGUGCAACAGUUGGGCCAGCCCACCAGAAUUAGACGGCAGCCUGCAUGUGUCAGGAAGGAAGGGAAAGCCCUCCUGUGACUGUGAUUCUGGUCCCCAAGCAACACCUCUUCCCAAUGAGUCAUUCACUUUCCAAGAAAAUCAGCUGCAUGGGAAUACAUGUCUGGAAUCGUGGAAACUUUCCGUUGAACAGACAGAAAUAGCAGAUGUUCCUGCGUGUGACAGGGUAAACCCAGGCAACCUACAAUUGGUUUCAAAGUUAAAGAAUACUUCAGGUUCCUGUUCUGUGGAUGUGAGUGCCAUGUGGUGGGAAAUAGCUGGUUUGAAAGAGCCGUGUAUCAUAACUGCGUGUGAAUAUGUAGUUUCUCUUUGGAAAGCUCUGGAUACUUGGCAGUGGGAAAAAAUUUAUUCCUGGCACUUCACAGAGGUUCCAGUAUUACAGAUAGUUCUAGUGCCUGAUGUUUGUAAUCUUGUGUGUGUGGCUUUGGGAAAUUUGGAAAUCAGAGAAAUCAGGGCAUUACUUUGUUCCUCUGAUGGUGAAAGUGAAAAGCAAUUACUCCUGAGUUCUGGAAAUAUAAAAGCUGUGCUUGGCCUGACACAGAGAAGGCUAGUCACUAGCAGUGGGACCCUUUGUGAUCAACAAGUAGAAAUCAUGACCUUUGCAGAAGAUGGAGGAAGCAAAGAAAAACAGUUUUUGAUGCCCCCUGAAGAGACUAUACUAACUUUUGCUGAGGUUCAAGGGAUGCAGGAGGCUCUGCUUGGUACCACUAUAAUGAACAACAUUGUUAUCUGGACACUUGCCACAGCAUGGCUUGAUGAGUGGCGUGUAGGUCCGUGCCUGGGAUCUGAAACCGUGAACCCCAGGCCGCUGAAGCGGAGCAUGUGAAGUUAACCACUACACAACCAGGCCAGCCCCUCAAGUGACCCUUUUUGAAAAUACUGCUGAAAGUCUAAAUAUUUAAUCUUGGUCAAGCUAUAUUAACUGAGCACCCAUGUUUCAAUCAUUUAAUAGAUAUUUGAGUCUCUACUUAUGUACCAUUCUCUGUGAGAGAUGCAGAUGCAAAUCAGAUAUGAGUCCUGGUCCCAAAGCCCCUAAAAUCUAGUAGGUAAAUAAGGUUACUUUACAAUUCACAGUGUACAAUUCCUUUACAAUUCACACAAAGUCAAAGUGACAGAGAUUUGGACAAAGUGCUCUGGGAUUUUGGAAAAGAGCAAUUACUAAAUACAGAAUGUGUGCUAACCUCUGUAAGGGAUAAAGCUAUCCUGGUGUCCCUUAUUUGAGGAAAACCUUACAUACAUACAUGAGAAUUCAGUGUUCCUUCUUCAGUUUUUAUACACAGUACCUGGUCCGUAGAAAGUUUGCAAGUAUUUGUUGAAUGAAUACAUUGUACCCGAUUACAGUCUAUAUUAAAUAACAAAUGAGGCAUAUGGACAGUACUAUAGGGAAUUGGAGGAGAGGAGAUUUCUGUGGACUGGUGCCAAAAGGGAGGAGAAAGUCUAAAUCGAGCUCACGCAGCUCGGAGGGGGUGGGCCAUAAGGUAGGCCUUAAGGAAUGAAUGGGCAUUGGUCAGUAAUGGGGAUGGGAAUUAGUGGUGAUGGGGAGCACACUGGAAGGAGGAGCUUGAACACAGGUCUAGAGCCAGGAAUGUACAUAUUAUGUUGUAUGGAGAGUGAGAAGAUUACAAGUAGGGGAGCAGCGGGUAAUACAGUAUUGCAGCGCUGGAUUCAUGAGGGUUAUAAAUACCAUGAGAAAGAACUUGGACUUUAUCUUGUGGCUCAUGGAGAGCCCCUGAAAGUUUUUCAUCAGUCGAGUCACAUGACAGAACAGUUGUCAAUGUCACUUUCCCCAGUAAAGCUAAGGGGUGGUUCCAACAAAUUUUCUUUUUUUCCUUCUUUAUGUUCACCCUCUUCUCUCCUCUCUUCCUUUUUCCAUUUUUUACCCCAUCUCGGUCAUCCCUUCUCUCUCCAUCAUCUUGGUCUAGCUCUAGUAUAAACAUGUCUUGUACAGACAUAAUUAUAAGUCUUUUAGGUGUAGUCUCUCAUCUAAGCAAAUUUGGUUUCCUGUCCAUCGUCAUCCUUGGAAAAUUUAGGCAUAACAAGAAGUGUGACAGAAUCGUAAUGAUAGAGCUACACCGUGUGCCUGAUUUCAACACCAAGUAAAAUGAGAUCAUGGAAAACUUUUCUCAUGGAAUUUGGAGAGCUUUAUCCCUCGUGGCAGAGCAGAUUCAAUCUAAGGCUAAACUAUCAAAUUAAACCAUUGGCACAGUUAAACUGUGUUCUGUUUUUAGCUAAAUCUGUGACUAAACAAAACAAAGGUACUGUCUCUCUCAGUUUUUCCCUCGGUCACCCGCCUAAAGGAUGCUGUGAUAAAUAAGAGAGUAUUAUGUGAAAACCAGUUUGCUGGAGGAAUGUUAUCAGCUUAUUUAUUUUUGGUGUCUAAGGAAUUUAAGAACCGGUCAGCUCCUGAGAAAGAUGCACAUUGGCGAUUCCUACCAAGCUUCAGUCUGUCACAAAGCCUAUUCUGAAAUGGGGCUCCUCUUUGUUGUUCUGAGUCAUCCUUGUGCCAAAGAGAGUGAGGCGCUGAGAAGCC